rnacentral:rRNA from 1 species
AGAGCGAACGCUGGCGGCAGGCCUAACACAUGCAAGUCGAACGGACUCUUCGGAGUUAGUGGCGGACGGGUGAGUAACACGUGGGAACGUGCCUUUUGGUUCGGAAUAGCUCCUGGAAACGGGUGGUAAUGCCGAAUGUGCCCUUCGGGGGAAAGAUUUAUCGCCAUUAGAGCGGCCCGCGUCUGAUUAGCUAGUUGGUGAGGUUAAAGCUCACCAAGGCUACGAUCAGUAGCUGGUCUGAGAGGAU